GCCUGGGUGGCUUAGUCGGUUAGGCGCCCGACUUCAACUUAGGUUAUGAUCUCACGGCUCGGUUUGUGAGUUCGAGCCCCACCUCGGGCU
rnacentral:tRNA from 1 species